UUCCCCUAGUAACUGCGAGUGAAGCGGGAAAAGCUCAAAUUUAAAAUCUGGUGGUCUCUGGCCAUCCGAGUUGUAAUCUAGAGAAGUGUUACCCGCGUCGGACCGUGUACAAGUCUCCUGGAAUGGAGCGUCAUAGAGGGUGAGAAUCCCGUCUUUGACACGGACUACCGAGGCUUUGUGGUGCGCUCUCAACGAGUCGAGUUGUUUGGGAAUGCAGCUCAAAAUGGGUGGUAAAUUCCAUCUAAAGCUAAAUAUUGGCGAGAGACCGAUAGCGAACAAGUACCGUGAGGGAAAGAUGAAAAGAACUUUGGAAAGAGAGUUAAACAGUACGUGAAAUUGCUGAAAGGGAAACGCUUGAAGUCAGUCGCGUUGGCCGGAAAUCAGCCUUGCUUUUUGCUGGGUGUACUUUCUGGUUGACGGGCCAGCAUCAGUUUUGACCGGUGGAAAAAGUUCAAAGGAAUGUGGCAUCUUCGGAUGUGUUAUAGCCUUUGGUCGUAUACAUCGGUUGGGACUGAGGAACUCAGCACGCCGAAAGGCCGGGUCUUUGACCACGUUCGUGCUUAGGAUGCUGGCAUAAUGGCUUUAAUCGACCCGUCUUGAAACACGGACCAAGGAGUCUAACAUGCCUGCGAGUGUUUGGGUGGAAAACCCG
rnacentral:rRNA from 1 species